rnacentral:rRNA from 1 species
AAGAAUCUGCCUUCAACUCUGGGAUAACUCCGGGAAACCGGGGCUAAUACCGGAUAUGAGCCUUGAUCGCAUGAUCGGGGCUGGAAAGUUUUUCGGUUGAAGAUGACUUCGCGGCCUAUCAGCUUGUUGGUGAGGUAAUGGCUCACCAAGGCGACGACGGGUAGCCGGCCUGAGAGGGCGACCGGCCACACUGGGACUGAGACACGGCCCAGACUCCUACGGGAGGCAGCAGUGGGGAAUAUUGGGCAAUGGAGGAAACUCUGACCCAGCGACGCCGCGUGAGGGAUGAAGGCCUUCGGGUUGUAAACCUCUUUCAGUAGGGAAGAAGCGAAAGUGACGGUACCUACAGAAGAAGCACCGGCUAACUAUGUGCCAGCAGCCGCGGUAAUACAUAGGGUGCAAGCGUUGUCCGGAAUUAUUGGGCGUAAAGAGCUCGUAGGUGGUUCGAUACGUCGGAUGUGAAAAUCAGGGGCUCAACCCCUGACCUGCAUCCGAUACGGUCGAGCUAGAGUUUGGUAGGGGAGACUGGAAUUCCUGGUGUAGCGGUGGAAUGCGCAGAUAUCAGGAGGAACACCGAUGG